rnacentral:tRNA from 2 species
AGCCCGGUAGUGUAGCUGGUCAAUCAUUUCGGGCUUUGGACCCGGCGACGGCGGUUCGAAUCCGCCCCGGGCUA